rnacentral:rRNA from 1 species
UGCAAGUCGAACGGUCUCUUCGGAGGCAGUGGCGGACGGGUGAGUAACGCGUGGGAACGUGCCCUUUGGUACGGAACAACUGAGGGAAACUUCAGCUAAUACCGUAUGUGCCCUUCGGGGGAAAGAUUUAUCGCCAUUGGAGCGGCCCGCGUUGGAUUAGCUAGUUGGUGGGGUAAUGGCCCACCAAGGCGACGAUCCAUAGCUGGUCUGAGAGGAUGAUCAGCCACACUGGGACUGAGACACGGCCCAGACUCCUACGGGAGGCAGCAGUAGGGAAUCUUGCGCAAUGGGCGAAAGCCUGACGCAGCCAUGCCGCGUGAAUGAUGAAGGUCUUAGGAUUGUAAAAUUCUUUCACCGGGGACGAUAAUGACGGUACCCGGAGAAGAAGCCCCGGCUA